CAAAUCCCUAAUUUCUCCCCCGUCCCAAUCUUCCUGGCGGCGGCAGCGAGCGAGCAGGCGGCUGCAUUUACCGGGACUAGCGGCGGCGAGCGGGCAACAGAGCUGCGACGACAAGGUCAAGAACCCCGGCGGCCGCCUCCCCCACCACCGGGAAAAGGAGAGGAAGGGGAAAGGGACCCCCUUUUCCUUGCCCCGGCGGUCAUCCGGGAGAAGGAUGACCUGUGUGCCUCCAGAUGUGCUGCUGCCGCGACAUGGAAGCCGGCCUGCUGAUGCUGCUCUCCUCCGAUGUCGGGGACGACCGGCUGCUGCUGCACGCCGGUGAAUAGUGGCGAUUGGCGAUCGAGUACUCCUUGAUGUCAGAGAAUCCGACAUAACUAAGGAGUGAUUUGACAAAGUUCUGAAAGCUGGUUCUAAUGUUGUAUUUACCACCAGGGGAAUUGAUGAUAUGUCUUUGAAGGUACUUUUCAUCAACUCAGGCAUAACCGGUUGCUGCUCAUGUUCUUAAUAUGAUUUUGUAUAUGCUUUCUUACGCACUUUUGAUAUUAGCUAGGCUGAGAAUAUGAUGCAGCGCCUCAAGAGUUGCUUAAAGAUGAUAUACCAUACUCGAUUUUGAAUAUAGCUUCAGCAAACUGUUGAAGUGUAAUAUAACUAUAAUUUAGAGAAUAUGAUGCAGAGCAUUUGUUCCUAUGCUCUUCCUUGUCAGAGCUAUGAAGUAGUAGCCGCCUGUCGCUCUUCUCGAUGAUGGUGAUAAUGCAAGGUAGCGGUGGCCUGUUAAUAUCAAGAGCAUGGUGUUUACUCUGGCAGUGAUGCGAAAAUGUUCAAGCAACUCACUCAAGAGCAUGGUGUUUACUCUGGCAGGUACAUAUUUCUUAUUUGAUUGUACCUUUGGCCUGUUAUUAUCUUCUUCUUUUUUACUUCUGGCCAAACGAGUUUCAGGUCGUGUCGCUCUGUUCCGUGGUGCGUGUCUCUUCGGUUACAGUAUUACCGUUUUAGGGUGCCCUUUUCUUACGACUGUUCUAUAUGCUAACUGCCUUUGAUCAUCGCUAUAAGUUGUCUCAUGUGGAGGUUGUGGACAGAUCGCAGUUUGUUGGUGCCUGGCCGUACGCUUCUGGUGUAAGAUCGGCGAUAGCACUGAAACAUGCUCCACCCACAAUUUAUAUAUGAUCAAAAGCCAUAAUUAGCUUCAGGCUAUCAGCAUAACUAGGCCAUGUAUAUUUGGAGGACACUGUUUCUACUUUUGGGCAUACAGUUUUUGUCAUCUUUGCAUACCAUGUUUCCUCUUUUAUGCGCUGGAUUAGGAAAAAAAAUCUUUGGGUUGCAAAUAGCACAGUAAUGUGUUCUUUGUUUAUCUGUCAGUGAGAAAAUCCAAGAUCUUGUCUUGGCUAAAACAGAGUUAUGUGGAUGGUGUUCCUCCCAGUGAGCAGCAUACAAUGGUAUCUUCUGGUGUUUUUACAGAAGAGAGUUGAGUGAGAAAUGGAAUAUGGUAGGAAAAGGUAAUAAUGCUUGGUAUGUAAGUCCGUUUUUAUAAAUUGCAAGUACUAUAUGACCUUGAUCACACCUUUGUUCAACAGUUGUUUUUGCUCAUAUUUCCUUUUGAACUUCUUAGGUAUAUAUUUGGUGAUCAUAGGCCUAUACUGGUUAAUUGUUAGCAAUUGCUUCAAAAACCUGUUAAAGUUAGUAAUUGCUUCUGGACCAUAGCACUGCAAGGCCUGGAGCUCCAUCAUGCAGCUGCUGUGGUGGACAUGGAAGGAAAGAAAUGAUAGCAUCUUCCGGCGUCGCACUUUGCUGCUGCCGAAAUCUCUAGACAGAUUUCGUGGGGACCUGUCGAUGUGGUCGGUCGCUCCAAAAUGCUGAACCUAGAAAGACCACGUGAAUGACUAAAUAUUCGUCACUCUGUUGGUUGCUGAACGGCCGCCUGGGUGCUGUUGAGUCUCUGGUGCUUUCUAUUCUUUUUUCUUUAGUUUUUUCGGUUUCGUUCCUAGCUUGGUUCGGUCACCCUUCAAACCCUGUAACUCUGCUCUUAUCUAUAAUCAAUGAAAAGCUGCGCUGACAACCUUUUCGUCUAGAAA